AUGAACGCUGGCGGCGUGCCUAAUACAUGCAAGUCGAGCGAACAGACGAGGAGCUUGCUCCUCUGACGUUAGCGGCGGACGGGUGAGUAACACGUGGAUAACCUACCUAUAAGACUGGGAUAACUUCGGGAAACCGGAGCUAAUACCGGAUAAUAUAUUGAACCGCAUGGUUCAAUAGUGAAAGACGGUUUUGCUGUCACUUAUAGAUGGAUCCGCGCCGCAUUAGCUAGUUGGUAAGGUAACGGCUUACCAAGGCGACGAUGCGUAGCCGACCUGAGAGGGUGAUCGGCCACACUGGAACUGAGACACGGUCCAGACUCCUACGGGAGGCAGCAGUAGGGAAUCUUCCGCAAUGGGCGAAAGCCUGACGGAGCAACGCCGCGUGAGUGAUGAAGGUCUUCGGAUCGUAAAACUCUGUUAUUAGGGAAGAACAAAUGUGUAAGUAACUAUGCACGUCUUGACAGUACCUAAUCAGAAAGCCACGGCUAACUACGUG
rnacentral:rRNA from 1 species